UUCACCAGGGAAUUGGUGGGGAGAAAGGAGGGAAGGGGGAGAGAGAGGCUAAUUUCUCUCUGUGUUAGGAUUACUGUCUCUCUCAGGGAGAGUCUGGGAGGGGGAGAGAGAAGGAGGGGGGAAGGUGCAUUUUCCUCUCUGUUUUAAGAUUCAAGGAGUUUGAAUCACAGUGAUCUUCCAGAGUAACCCAGGGAGGGGAAGCCUGGGAGAGGCAACGGUGAGGGAAAGGGUUUACUUUCCUUGUGUUAAGAUCCAGAGGGUCUGGGUCUUGGGGGUCCCCGGGCAAGGUUUUGGCGGGACCAGAGAGUGUACCAGGCACUGGAAUUCCUGGUUGGUGGCAGCACUACAAGUUCUAAGCUGGUAAUUGAGCUUAGAGGAAUUCAUGCUGGUACCCCAUCUUUUGGACGCUAAGG